CAUGCAAGUCGAACGGUAGCACAGAGAGCUUGCUCUCGGGUGACGAGUGGCGGACGGGUGAGUAAUGUCUGGGAAACUGCCUGAUGGAGGGGGAUAACUACUGGAAACGGUAGCUAAUACCGCAUAACGUCUUCGGACCAAAGUGGGGGACCUUCGGGCCUCACACCAUCGGAUGUGCCCAGAUGGGAUUAGCUAGUAGGUGGGGUAAUGGCUCACCUAGGCGACGAUCCCUAGCUGGUCUGAGAGGAUGACCAGCCACACUGGAACUGAGACACGGUCCAGACUCCUACGGGAGGCAGCAGUGGGGAAUAUUGCACAAUGGGCGCAAGCCUGAUGCAGCCAUGCCGCGUGUAUGAAGAAGGCCUUCGGGUUGUAAAGUACUUUCAGCGGGGAGGAAGGCGAUAAGGUUAAUAACCUUGUCGAUUGACGUUACCCGCAGAAGAAGCACCGGCUAACUCCGUGCCAGCAGCCGCGGUAAUACGGAGGGUGCAAGCGUUAAUCGGAAUUACUGGGCGUAAAGCGCACGCAGGCGGUCUGUCAAGUCAGAUGUGAAAUCCCCGGGCUUAACCUGGGAACUGCAUUUGAAACUGGCAGGCUAGAGUCUUGUAGAGGGGGGUAGAAUUCCAGGUGUAGCGGUGAAAUGCGUAGAGAUCUGGAGGAAUACCGGUGGCGAAGGCGGCCCCCUGGACAAA
rnacentral:rRNA from 1 species